rnacentral:tRNA from 1 species
GGAAGUGGAUAGCUCGCUGGUGGGGCUCCCGGACUUCAAAUCCGGUGUGGGGCACUAAAACUGUCCCGGGUGGGUUCGAUUCCCAUGCACUUCCGCCA